CCCCCCCCUCGCGGCUUGGUGGGGGAGGGAGGGGCGGGGCCAACGCGGAGGGCGGGCCCCGUGGCUCCGCCCCCACCCGCCGGCCGUUGGGCGCGUGAGGCGAGCGCCCCCCCAACCCCCCCCUCUCCUCGUGCCUCACCCCCCUCAGGCGGGAAGCGCGCGGGGGGCGGGCGGCGGCGCUGAGGGGGCCGUGAGGGGAGCGCCGCUGGGGCAGCCCCGAGCGUCCUCCGGGGGCUUUGCGGGGUCCCAAACGGAGGCGGUCUGUCUGUCAGGCGGCUGCUGGACAAGGUAAGCAGUGGAGAGAAAAGGAUGCUGGACUCAUGAAGUUCUGACUGUCCUCAAAAACAGAACUGCUCAAAAGCGGGAGGACUGCAGGGACUGCAAACAGCUACUUGCAUAGUUCAGCACCCACUGCUGGCCCACGUCCCCUUUGGAGUGCCCAUUCUUCAGCUAAGGCCAGGCAUUAAUCCAAUUCCAGGACAAUGUUUAAGCCUUCCCAACAGGACGGACUGAAGAAGAACAACGGAUUACAAGAGACAACAAAUUGAAAUACGGUAAAAUCUCUGGAAGGGCACACCAGAUAUGGCUUAGAAUUGGACGAAGGUAUCAAACAGAUGGGAAGAUUUAUGAGAAAUUGAAUCUAUGUUCGUGAGGUCAAGAUUACAUUUGAAGGAGAAGAAAGACGGUUCUCUUAACUACAACUUCUAGGACACUGAGCUCCGGAAGAGAUCAACAGAUCUGUCUCCCAAUACCAUUAAAGAAAGAAGCUAACCACUGAAAAUGAACACUUUCUAUUUUUGUUCCUCUGAAAGCAUGAUUUAAAGUUGUCCAUUUUCACAGUACGCUAUGUUUUGAAUUUAUGUGCAAUAAAUCACUUUGUAGUCAUGGACAUAUACAUACCGAACACACAUGGGCAGAAUGGCCCUAAAAGAAACAAGUUAGUAAAAAAUCUGCAACCAUCCAACAAGACCUAACUUUCUUACCAAUUCUGUUAUUUGUACUUCAGAUGUGGUGUUAACACAACACCAGAGUCCCCUUCAGGUUAUGAAAAAGCAUGUGCUGUCAUACAGACUACCAUAUGCUGCACUAGGAAAGCGCACAUCGCAGUGCCAUGCUGUUUUUAAUAUCUUGGAAAGGAAUUGGAACAGUACUUACUGAUGUCAUAUUCCAUUACUUUGUCAUCCAGUGAGCUUAAUCUCCUUUUCAUGACCAUCUUACUUGUCUUAAACCACUUUUUUUUCUUUAAUUGCAGCACAUGCACAGAACUACACUCAAACUCUUCACUGUUUCUACCACAGUUGUAGAUUUUACUCUCUCUCUUUCACAAAGGGGUUAAGACCCUGAGGGGUCUACAUUACAGCAGCUGCUGAAAUCCCAUAGCAAGAGUCAGAGUGGCUGGUCCAGCAGUUCUAUGCCUUGAAAAAGGCUGGCAAGUAGCAGCAGGAAUAUAAAGCAAUCUAAUAGUGCAGCCAGUAUUUAGAAUGAACCAGCAUAUGAACAGCAAGGUUUUUUUUGUUUGUUUUGUUUUUUGAAAUUGUGACAAAUGUGUAUGGCCAGCAACAGGCUUAUAUUUUGAAGAGGUUUUUGUCGUUUGUUUUUGUUUUAAAUUAGAACACUAGAGUCGCUUUAAAAAACAGCAUAAUUAGGUGCAACACAGCAUGUAACUAACAGUUGUACCACAUCAGAUCAAAGUCACAUGAACUCUCUAAUCUCACUUCAUCAGUGGCCAGGAGUAAAUAUUGAAGUGUACAAAGGAACACACUCCAGUUAUUCUUGACUAGUCUCUCAUCUUCUAUGGAUUUGCCACCAUGAGACUCUAAAGCAGAGGUAGCAUUAAAAAGUUUUUUCUUCUGCUAACUUGCUCUGUGUUUAUUUUUUUAAUUCACAUUAUCUUAAUACCUACUCUGUGGUACCAAUUUCCCCAGCUUAAAAAUGCUGCAAGUUAACUACUACAUCCUCUUAGUCUGA